rnacentral:rRNA from 1 species
CAGGUUUCCGUAGGUGAACCUGCGGAAGGAUCAUU